UACGUAGGGUGCGAGCGUUGUCCGGAAUUAUUGGGCGUAAAGAGCUCGUAGGCGGUGUGUCACGUCGGCCGUGAAAACCUGCAGCUUAACUGUGGGCGUGCGGUCGAUACGGGCAUCACUGGAGUUCGGCAGGGGAGACUGGAAUUCCUGGUGUAGCGGUGAAAUGCGCAGAUAUCAGGAGGAACACCGAUGGCGAAGGCAGCUCACUGGGACGGUACUGACGCUGAGACGCGAAAGCGUGGGGAGCAAACAGG
rnacentral:rRNA from 1 species